AUUGAACGCUGGCGGCAUGCCUUACACAUGCAAGUCGAACGGCAGCACGGGAGCAAUCCUGGUGGCGAGUGGCGAACGGGUGAGUAAUAUAUCGGAACGUGCCCAGUCGUGGGGGAUAACGUAGCGAAAGCUACGCUAAUACCGCAUACGAUCUAUGGAUGAAAGCGGGGGGAUCGCAAGACCUCGCGCGAUUGGAGCGGCCGAUAUCAGAUUAGGUAGUUGGUGAGGUAAAGGCUCACCAAGCCGACGAUCUGUAGCUGGUCUGAGAGGACGACCAGCCACACUGGGACUGAGACACGGCCCAGACUCCUACGGGAGGCAGCAGUGGGGAAUUUUUGGACAAUGGGCGCAAGCCUGAUCCAGCAAUGCCGCGUGCAGGAUGAAGGCCUCGGUUG
rnacentral:rRNA from 1 species